rnacentral:tRNA from 2 species
GCGGGCGUGGCGGAAUUGGUAGACGCGCUGGAUUUAGGUUCCAGUGACUUUAGUCGUGUGGGUUCAAGUCCCUCCGCCCGUACCA